rnacentral:rRNA from 1 species
UACGUAGGGCGCGAGCGUUGUCCGGAUUUAUUGGGCGUAAAGAGCGUGUAGGCGGCUUUACAGGUCCGUUGUGAAAACUCGAGGCUCAACCUCGAGACGCCGGUGGAAACCGUAAAGCUAGAGUCCGGAAGAGGAGAGUGGAAUUCCUGGUGUAGCGGUGAAAUGCGCAGAUAUCAGGAAGAACGCCCGUGGCGAAGGCGGCUCUCUGGGACGGUACUGACGCUGAGACGCGAAAGCGUGGGGAGCGAACAGG